rnacentral:rRNA from 1 species
GCUGGAUGCUGACGAGCGGCGGACGGGUGAGUAAUGCAUAGGAAUCUGCCCGAUAGUGGGGGAUAACCUGGGGAAACCCAGGCUAAUACCGCAUACGUCCUACGGGAGAAAGGGGGCUCCGGCUCCCGCUAUGGGAUGAGCCUAUGUCGGAUUAGCUAGUUGGUGAGGUAACGGCUCACCAAGGCCACGAUCCGUAGCUGGUCUGAGAGGAUGAUCAGCCACAUCGGGACUGAGACACGGCCCGAACUCCUACGGGAGGCAGCAGUGGGGAAUAUUGGACAAUGGGGGAAACCCUGAUCCAGCCAUGCCGCGUGUGUGAAGAAGGCCCUCGGGUUGUAAAGCACUUUCAGCGAGGAAGAACGCCUAGCGGUUAAUACCCGCUAGGAAAGACAUCACUCGCAGAAGAAGCACCGGCUAACUCCGUGCCAGCAGCCGCGGUAAUACGGAGGGUGCAAGCGUUAAUCGGAAUUACUGGGCGUAAAGCGCGCGUAGGUGGCUUGAUAAGCCGGUUGUGAAAGCCCCGGGCUCAACCUGGGAACGGCAUCCGGAACUGUCAAGCUAGAGUGCAGGAGAGGAAGGUAGAAUUCCCGGUGUAGCGGUGAAAUGCGUAGAGAUCGGGAGGAAUACCAGUGGCGAAGGCGGCCUUCUGGACUGACACUGACACUGAGGUGCGAAAGCGUGGGUAGCA